GUGUCAGCAGCCGCGGUAAAACGUAGGUGGCGAGCGUUAUCCGGAUUCACUGGGCGUAAAGGGCACGCAGGUGGUCUUGUAGGUAGGGCAUGAAACCUCCCGGCUUAACUGGGAGACGCUGUCCUAAACCACAAGACUUGAGGCUGAGAGAGGGAAGUGGAAUUGCCGGUGUAGUGGUGAAAUGCGUAGAGAUCGGCAGGAACACCAGUGGCGAAGGCGGCUUCCUGGCUCAGACCUGACACUCAUGUGCGAAAGCUAGGGGAGCGAACGGGAUUAGAAACCCCAGUAGUCC
rnacentral:rRNA from 1 species